rnacentral:lncRNA from 1 species
CCAGAGUUUCUGCACAUUGGCUCUCUCAGAAAAGUACUUCGUAGGUUUGCCGUGAUGGCUGCCAAGGCCAAGGCCAAGGCCACUGUUUGCCAGGGUGUUUCAUAUUCCACUCAGAUAAUCUGAGUGAUACAGGUUUGGUUUGGAUCCCACCUUCCAAGAUGAAAGGGACCAUUCACUGCCCAGCAUUUUAAAAUCUGCCUUCAUUGGCUGAAAGAUGGACUCUUAGGGCUUCUACCCAAAACCAUUGUUACACCUUGUUUUGUGAAAACCAAGGAGCUAGGUAGGUAUUCUUGAGGUGAGGGGUGGUUGCAGGAGGAGGAGUGCAGUAAGAGGUAUGAGUCUAGAAGUUGUCUCAUACACGCUCCAGGGUUCUGUGUGCUGUGGUGCCAACUCUUUGGGGUAACUGUCAGUGGUAGGAGAUUGGGGGUGAGGGGCCUUGCUUUCCAACCCUCAUUGAGCACGUGCUCGGUGCCAGGCCUCAUUCUGGGCACUGGAUAGGCAUGGUCUCAUUUGGGCUUUGUGGGUGGUGGGCUGGUAGAGCAGACCCUGCAGCUGACAUGCCCACUCUGUCAUCUUGCAUCCCACAGAUUACACAGACAGAGGUCCAGCAAGGACAGCAGCAGUUCAGCCAGUUCACAGAUGGACAGAGGAACAGUGUACAGCAAGCUCAAGGCUCUGAGCUAACAGGAGAGGCAGAGCCCAGAGAAGUGAAAGCCACAGGAAAUGCAACUCCCUGCACCUCCUCCCUGCCCGGUACACAUUCCCCCUCACACCAGGCUGGUGCCUCCUGUGUCUGC